UCCCGUGUGGCUCAGUUGGUAGAGCAUGGUGUUUGCAACGCCAGGGUUAUGGGUUCGAUUCCCACGGGGG
rnacentral:tRNA from 1 species